AAUGAACGCUGGCGGCAGGCCUAACACAUGCAAGUCGAGCGAGCGGCGGACGGGUGAGUAAUGCCUGGGAAACUGCCUGAUGGAGGGGGAUAACUACUGGAAACGGUAGCUAAUACCGCAUACCAUCAGAUGUGCCCAGAUGGGGUUAGCUAGUGGGUGGGGUAACGGCUCACCUAGGCGACGAGCCCAAGCUGGUCUGAGAGGAUGAGCAGCCAACCUGGAACUGGGACACGGUCCAGACGCCUACGGGAGGCAGCAGUGGGGAAUAUUGCACAAUGGGCGCAAGCCUGAUGCAGCCAUGCCGCGUGUGUGAAGAAGGCUUUCGGGUUGUAAAGCACUUUCAGCGGGGAGGCGGUACCCGCAGAAAAAGCACCGGCUAACUCCGUGCCAGCAGCCGCGGUAAUUC
rnacentral:rRNA from 1 species